rnacentral:piRNA from 1 species
GGGGGCUGGAGAGACGGCUCAGAGGUUAAG